rnacentral:rRNA from 1 species
CCUACGGGAGGCAGCAGUGAGGAAUAUUGGUCAAUGGACGAGAGUCUGAACCAGCCAAGUCGCGUGAAGGAUGACUGCCCUAUGGGUUGUAAACUUCUUUUAUAUGGGAAUAAAAUGCUCCACGUGUGGCAUUUUGUAAGUACCAUAUGAAUAAGGAUCGGCUAACUCCGUGCCAGCAGCCGCGGUAAUACGGAGGAUCCGAGCGUUAUCCGGAUUUAUUGGGUUUAAAGGGAGCGUAGGUGGAUUGUUAAGUCAGUUGUGAAAGUUUGCGGCUCAACCCUGAAAUUGCAGUUGAAACUGGCGGUCUUGAGUACAGUAGAGGUAGGCGGAAUGCGUGGUGUAGCGGUGAAAUGCUUAGAUAGCACGAAGAACUCCGAUUGCGAAGGCAGCUCACUGGACUGCAACUGACGCUGAGGCACGAAAGUGUGGGUAUCAAACAGGAUUAGAUACCCUGGUAGUC